rnacentral:tRNA from 1 species
UCUCUUAUGGUGUAAUGGCUAGCAGGCUGGACUUUGAAUCCAGCGAUCCGGGUUCAAAUCCAGGUAGGAGCU